GCGAAUUCGCCCUUUUCCGGUUGAUCCUGCCGGAGUCGCUGCUAUUGGGAUUCGACUAAGCCAUGCGAGUCGUGAGGGUUCGGCCCUCGGCGAACGGCUCAGUAACACGUAGAUAAUUUGCCCUUAGGUGGAGGAUACCCUCGGGAAACUGAGAAUAAUACUCCAUAGAUCUAGACUGCUGGAAUGCUUUUAGAUUGAAAGAUUUAUCGCCUAAGGAUAAGUCUGCGGACUAUCAGGUAGUAGUUAGGGUAAAUACCUGACUAGCCUACGACGGAUACGGGUAGUGAGAGCUUUAGCCCGGAGAUGAUAUCUGAGACACGAUAUCAGGACCUACGGGGCGCAGCAGGCGCGAAAACUUCGCACUGUGCGAAAGCACGACGAGGGAAUCCCAAGUGCUGGCUCGUAAGAUUCAGCUGUUUUUCUGUCUAAAAAACAGAGAGAGUAAGAGCUGGGUAAGACGGGUGCCAGCCGCCGCGGUAAUACCUGCAGCUCAAGUGGUGGCCGCUAUUAUUGGGCCUAAAACGUCCGUAGCCGGUUCUAUAAAUGCCUGGGUAAAUCGUACGGCUUAACCGUACGAAUUCCGGGUAGACUGUUCAACUUGGGACCGGGAGAGGAUAGAGGUACUCCUGGGGUAGAGGUGAAAUUCUGUAAUCCUAGGGGGACCACCAGUGGCGAAGGCGUCUAGCUAGAACGGGUCUGACGGUGAGGGACGAAGCCCUGGGGAGCAAACGGGAUUAGAUACCCCGGUAGUCCAGGGUGUAAACGCUGCUCGCUUGAUGUUAGUCGGGCUCCGAGCCCAACUAGUGUCGGAGAGAAGUUGUUAAGCGAGCUGCCUGGGGAGUACGGUCGCAAGACUGAAACUUAAAGGAAUUGGCGGGAAGGGCGAAUUCGU
rnacentral:rRNA from 1 species